CAGUACUCACUUUAACAAACAUUCUAGGCACAGAAGCAACCAUAUUAAACUCCUUACAGUGCUCUUGCAGAUCAUAAGACAAAGAUUCAUGAGCUGAUUCUGUCUGCAAGUUUUUCUGUUGUCCUUCUUGUGUUGUACUCUCUGGUUCUUUUUCUGCUGAGUCUUCUUUUGCAACCUGUGACACUGAAACAAUUCUACUCGGUUGCACCGGUUCAAGACAAGUUAGAUCAUCAAAGGAAUUAUGAAAAUUAGAUUCAGAGUGAGGUAAGAACAGAGAAAACUCUUGUUCUUUCUCAAACUUUCCUUUUCCCAUAGAUGUUUUGGUUUGAGCUUCUUGAAUUGGGGCAGCUGAGUCUGGUUCUGCAUCAU
rnacentral:lncRNA from 1 species